UAUAACACGUCUCAGAGCAAUCUCCGCUCUAUUCAUAGGCACACUCAUCGGCGAACAGUUCUUUGGAGGCAAUCAAAUGAUAUUCUACAUGUGCCUUACGCUCUUGGCAGCCUUUGUGGCUUGCCAAGCCUCGGAGGAGAUUUACCAAAUACUGGCAAAAGAUUAUUAUGCCAGCAAGAAUCUCAUCAUCUCCCCCUUCGCCAUCGAUACCAUCCUUAGUCUGGUCUACAUGGGAGCUGCAGGCGCUACCGCCACAGAGCUGCAAAACUACCUGAAAUUAUCGUCAGAGGACAAGCAACUGGUGACCAGCAAGUACAACGAGGUCCUCGACGGCCUCUUCCAGCCACGAGCGGAUGGUCCCACCUUGAAGCUGGCAAACCGCAUUUAUGUCAACGAUCGUUUCCGUUUGAAGGAGGAGUAUAAUCAGGUGGUUCGUGACGCCUUUCAUGCUGAUGCACAGAUGUUUAGCGUCGCCGGCGGGGUGGAUCCGACAGAAAGUAUCAACAAGUGGGUACAGGUACAGACGAAUGGCAAGAUCUUGAAUCUUCUGGAGCCCAACAGCCUCAAGCCCGACGUGAUGGCAGUGCUACUGAAUGCUAUCUACUUCAAGGGUGAGUGGCAGUCAAAGUUCGAUGCCAGUAACACUCAGGAGGGCAAUUUCUGGGUGACGGGAGAAGAAACGGUUCCGGUUCAGAUGAUGUCUCAAACGGGUUACUUUAAGGCCCGCUACUUCACCGAUCUCCAGGCACAAGUGAUCGAGCUCCCGUACCUGAACUCCAACCUUUCCAUGUUCCUGUUCCUGCCCAAGGAACGCGAUGGCCUCAGAGCUAUGGAGCAGAAAAUCUCUGGCUUCUCUCGGCAUAUGCAUUGUAUGGAGGCUGUUGUGAAGUUGCCUAAGUUCAAAAUAGAGUGCGGCGAAGACCUUAAGGGAACCCUCCAAAAGUUGGGAAUCCGAGAGCUGUUCACCGACGAUUCCGAUCUGAGCGGCCUAUUGGCAGAUAAGGCCAAUGGAAAGAUCAGCAAAUUCGUUCACAAAGCGGUUUUGGAUGUCAACGAGGAGGGGGUCGAGGCCUCUGCCGCCACAUAUGGAAUGAUCACCAAUCGCUCGAGCUUCACCAUGGUGCUUAGCUUCGAUCAUCCCUUUGCUUUCGUCAUACGGGAUCAGAGAACUAUCUACUUCCAGGGUCAUGUGGUCAGCCCCUGAGUAAUCGUUAUGCUGUGUACGGAUGUCAAAUUAAACGAAAAUAUUAUCAAAACAUAUAAACAACAAGCGGGAUCGCGGCAAGGGCAGCGACUCUACUUUUAUAACCGGUACUCAGUCAGUAUAAAUGUGAACUUAUGAUUUAGGCCCUUUUUGACUUGUUGCUUCGAACCCCCAAAUGAGGAUUUUUUGCGGGAGGGUGCUUAUUUCGGCCCACCUGAAUUGGAGUACCAAAUUUGACCGAGGUCCAAGGUGAUCUCAACGAUUCGAGCAGUUCUGGAGGUGGAAUGGUUCCCAACAAAAUAAAUGUUCAAUUUGUGGUGGUUUUAGUUUUA